GAGAUAGACACAGAAGGAGAGAGAGAUCUGGAGAGAGCAAGAUAGACGGAGUGAGACAGACUUUCCUACAAACAACCGAUGUAAUUGGUACCUUUUGAAAUCUCUUGGAACACAACUCUAAACUGAGUGUAGGAGUCUCUGAUCACAUCUUUAGCCAUAUUUCCAUUGAAUUUCACACUGAUGGAAACUUCUUUGUACCUCACCCUCCUAAUCUCAGGGUUCUACACACCUUCCUCGUGUCUUAUUUGUCAGUAUCACG